rnacentral:rRNA from 1 species
CUCUUAAAUGGCCGCGGCAAACCGUGCAAAGGUAGCAAAUCAUUUGUCCUCCAAAUAGGGACCAGUAUGAAUGGCCACAUGAGAAAGACACUGUCUCCUUAGGCCCGUCAAUGAAACUGAUCUGUCUGUAAAAACGCAGACAUAUUAAAGCAAGACAAAAAGACCCUGUGAAACUUUAAGUACCCGUCACAAUAAUGACCAAGGCACUUUUGGUUGGGGCAACCAAAGAGAAAUAUAAACCUCUUAAACGUCACACGGCAAACGAGCCAAAUGACGCCACCUUAGACCCAGUAUUACUGAACAAAGGACCAAGCUACUCCAGGGAUAACAGCGCUACAUUCUUGAAGAGUCCGUAUCAACAAGAAUACCUACGACCUCGAUGUUGGAUUAGGAUACCCAAAUGGCGCAAAAGCUAUUAAAGGUUCGUUUGUUCAACGAUUAAAAUCCCACGUGAUCUGAGUUCAAACCGGAGAUUGGUUCACGAUUAAAGGCCUUCGUGAUCUGGGUUCAACCCGGAGAA